AGAUGGUGUGCGGCAGCCAUUUUGUGGUGAACAAUUUGCCAAAACACAUGCUUGCCUUCCUUGGUUUGACUGUCAAAGAGGCAGCUGCGACUUUCUUGGCUCCUCCAUGGCUUCCCUCAGAGACACUGGCGGUCACCACACUCCUCCGACUUUCAGGACUGUUUUGCCAACAUGGACCAGUACGAAGUUGGAUCUCCGACGAAAAAGAUGGCACCAUUGCAACAUUUUUACUUGGUAUAGGGAAUAAUAAGAAGGCAGCCGCAUGAGAUGACUGGUGGAUACAUCAUCACCACACGGCAGCUCUUCUGCCUGUGAGCGUGCUCAGCCGUGACCACGACCACGAUGAUGUCUUUAUGAGGCCUCCCAGAGCCACCAGGAAGAGGACAAAGACCAGUUUUGUCAUGACAGAAGCCUGCAAACUCAUUUGUUGCGUCCUGUCCCUCCAAUCCUCCGGCGAAUGUGUGGCGCGUCCGACAGAUGAAAUCUUUGGAGCCUGCAGACGAGUCAUCACUGCAGCUGAGUGGAAGAUUAAGGUGACAAAAAUGAGAUUAUAUAGUUGUACCUGGAAGUCGGAGGAGUGUUGCCACGGGUGUGGUGACCGCCAGUGUCUCUGAGGGAAGCCAUGUUUCUCGAGGAGGCGAAGCGAAGGCAGCCGGUCGGGCCGGGCUGAGCUUUUUUUCCCCCCUCCUCCACAGUGGAAGCAUCCCACGUUCAGGGGCGGCCAGUCGGAGGAGAGAACAGAGUCCGCAGCUGCCUCUUGGACAGGUGCACGAGGAGUGACGCAAGCUAUCCGCUCAUGUCUACGAUGGCCGUCUCUUCCUCCUGAUGGCAGUUUAUCUUCCUGCUCAUCACACGCACGACGACAUCAUUGAACAGAGACGCUGCUGGAGGUCGAUGACAUCCGCUGCCUGUCGAUCAUCAUCAACCCCCCUCCAGCAGACACCUUUUUUUCUGUCGCUGACGGACUGACGGACAGCGCUCCCACGGUGGACGCUCCCUCCGCCGCACCAGAAGACGUCUGCUCGGGCGAUAGCAUUGUGUCCCUGUCCAAAGACCUGCCGGCUGCCCUACUCCGCCGUGUCUUUAUCAUGCUAAUACGCACCAGAAGCAGGGAGGCGGGAGGAGAGGAAGGAUCGCACCACAAAUAGAGGAGAGGAACACCCCUGGAGGCUGGCUGCCUGUUUACUUAGAAGGGAGAAAAAUAAAAAAGGAAGUGCGCGUGUGUGUAGGUGAUUUCACGGCGAGGAUUAAAGAGGGUCAGGUAUGAUAUCUUGUUUCCUGUGACCCGCUCAUCGCAAGCUUUCCCACACUCAUCACUUGACUCUAUCACAUCCUUCAUCCCAGACACACACACACACACACACACACACACCGAGCUGGCUUGUAAAUCCACAUUAUCUCCAGAUACCUGUGCAUGUGUGCUUAAACCUCUAUGUGUGUGUGUGUGUGUAGCGUUAUAGUCCUGUCACACUCAACACCCUAGAGCAGGGGUCACCAACGCGGUGCCCCGUAAGGACCAGAUGAGUCGCCCGCUGGCCUGUUCUAAAAAUAGCUCAAAUAGCAGCACUUACCAGUGAGCUGCCUCUAUUUUUUAAAUUGUAUUUAUUUACUAGCAAGCUGGUCUCGCUUUGCUGGACAUUUUUAAUUCUAAGAGAGACAAAACUCAAAUAGAAUUUGAAAAUCCAAGAAAAUAUUUGAAAGACUUGGUCUUCACUUGUUUAAAUAAAUUCAUUUAUUUUUUUACUUUGCUUCUUAUAACUUUCAGAAAGACAAUUUUAGAGAAAAAUACAACCUUAAAAAUGAUUUUAGGAUUUUUAAACACAUAUACCUUUUUACCUUUUAAAUUUCUUCCUCUUCUUUCCUGACAAUUUAAAUCAAUGUUCAAGUAAAUUAUUUUUUUUAUUGUAAGGAAUAAUAAAUACAUUUUGAUUUAAGUCUUCAUUUUAGCCUCUGUUUUUUCGAUGAGGAAUAUUUGUGAAAUAUUUCUUCAAACUCAUGAUCAAAAUAAAAAAUAAAUAUUCCGGCAAAUCUAUAAAAUCUGUAAAAUCAAAUUUAAAUCUUAUUUCCAGGUCUUUUGAAUUUCUUUUAAAAUUUUUGUUCUGGAAAAUCUAGAAGAAAUAAUGAUUUGUAUUCGUUAGAAAUAUAGCUUGGUCCAAUUUGUUAUAUAUUCUAACAAAGUGCAGAUUGGAUUUUAACCUGUCAUCAAAAUUCUAAAAUUGAUCUUAAUCAGGAAAAAUUACUAAUGAUGUUCCAUAAAUUGUUUUUUUAAUUUUUUCAAAAAGAUUCGAAUUAGCUAGUUUUUCUUUCCUUUUUUUUCGGUUGAACUUUGAAUUUUAAAGAGUCGAAAUGGAAGAUAAACUAUGUUUCAAAAUUUUUAAACACAUAUACCUUUUUACCUUUUAAAUUCCUUCCUCUUCUUUCCUGACAAUUUAAAUCAAUGUUCAAGUAGAUAUUUUUUUUUAUUGUAAAGAAUAAUAAAUACAUUUUAAUUUAAUUCUUCAUUUUAGCUUCUGUUUUUUCGACGAAGAAUAUUUGUGAAAUCCAUCCAUCCAUCCAUUUUCUACCGCUUAUUCCCUUUUGGGGUCGCGGGGGGCGCUGGCGCCUAUCUCAGCUACAAUCGGGCGGAAGGCGGGGUACACCCUGGACAAGUCGCCGGUGUUGUCUAUUUGUGAAAUAUUUCUUCAAACUUAUUAUGAUGAAAAUUCAAAAAAAUUAUUCCGGCAAAUCUAUAAAAUCUGUAAAAUCAAAUUUAAAUCUUAUUUCCAAGUCUUUUGAAUUUAUUUUAAAAUUUUUGUUCUGGAAAAUCUAGAAGAAAUAAUGAUUUGUCUUUGUUAGAAAUAUAGCUUGGUCCAAUUUGUUAUAUAUUCUAACAAAGUGCAGAUUGGAUUUUAACCUAUUUAAAAAAUGUCAUCAAAAUUCUAAAAUGAAUCUUAAUCAGGAAAAAUUACUAAUGAUGUUCCAUAAAUUCUUUUUUGAAUUUUUUCAAAAAGAUUCGAAUCAGCUAGUUUUUCUCUUCAUUUUUUUCGGUUGAAUUUUGAAUUUUAAAGAGUCCAAAUUGAAGAUAAACUAUGUUUCAAAAUUUACUUUGCUUAUUAUAACUUUCAGAAAGACAAUUUUAGAGAAAAAAUACAACCUUAAAAAGGUUUUUAGGAUUUUUAAACACAUAUACCUUUUUACCUUUUAAAUUCCUUCCUCUUCUUUCCUGACAAUUUAAAUCAAUGUUCAAGUAGAUAAUUUUUUUUAUUGUAAAGAAUAAUAAAUACAUUUUAAUUUAAGUCUUCAUUUUAGCUUCUGUUUUUUCGACGAAGAAUAUUUGUGAAAUAUUUUUUCAAACUUAUUAUGAUAAAAAUUCAAAAACCUUAUUCUGGCAAAUCUAUAAAAUCUGUAAAAUCAAAUUUAAAUCUUAUUUCAAAGUCUUUUGAAUUUCUUUUAAAAUUUUUGUUCCGAAAAAUCUAGAAGAAAUAAUUAUUUGUCUUUGUUAGAAAUAUAGCUUGGUCCAAUUUGUUAUAUAUUCUAACAAAGUGCAGAUUGGAUUUUAACCUAUUUAAAACAUGUCAUCAAAAUUCUAAAAUUAAUCUUGAUUUGGAAAAAUUAUUAAUGAUGUUCCAUAAAUUAUUUUUUAAUUUUUUUCAAAAAGAUUCGAAUCAGCUAGUUUUUCUCUUCAUUUUUUUCGGUUGAAUUUUGAAUUUUAAAGAGUCAAAAUCCAAGAUAAACUCUGUUUCAAAAUUAAAUUUUCAUUUUUUUUCAGGUUUUCUCCUCUUUUAAACCGUUCAAUUAAGUGUUUUUUUCAUCAUUUAUUCUUUACAAAAAACCUUCCGUAAAAGGAAAAAAAAUGUGUGACGGAAUGACGGACAGAAAUACCCAUUUGUUUUUAUAUACAGUAUAUAGAUGUAUUUAUUAAAGGUAAAUUGAGCAAAUUGGCUAUUUCUGGCAAUUUAUUUAAGUGUGUAUCAAACUGGUAGCCCUUCCCAUUAAUCAGUACCCAAGAAGUAGCUCUUGGUUUCAAAAAGGUUGGUGACCCCUGCCCUAGAGUGUGUGUGUGUGUGUUUCCUGUAACUCAUUGCAGGUUAUGAUAACAACCGCUUCUCCUGUCAGCAGCCCAUAACGUCAGAUUUACAGGGUUGCCCCCGGUUACUAGCGGGGGCUAGUGUGGCUGAGUGAUUCUCCAGCAUCUGACGGAGUCAGACAGACCAUUCAUCACAGAUAGAAGCUCCGCCACCCCCCCCAACCCCCUUCCAAAAAAAAAGUAGAAUAUACAGUAAAGUAGUGGUUCUGAAAUGGGGGUACUUGAAGGUAUGCCAAGGGGUACGUGAGAUUUUUUUUUUAAAUAUUCUAAAAAUAGCAACAAUUCAAAAAUCAUUUAUAAAUAUAUUUAUUGACUAAUACUUCAACAAAAUAUGAAUGUAAGUUCAUAAACUGUGAAAAGAAAUGCAACAAUGCAAUAUUCAGUGUUGACAGCUAGAUUUUUUUGUGGACAUGUUCCAUAAAUAUUGAUGUUAAAUAUUUCCUUUUUUGUGAAGAAUUGUUAAGAAUUAAGUUGAUGAAUCCAGAAUGAUCUCUAUUACAAUCCUCAAAGAGGGCUCUUUAAGUUGAUAAUUACUUUUACGUGUAGAAAUCUUUAUUUAUAAUUGAAUUUAUUUGAGUUUAUUUUGUAGUUCUGAUGGCUUCAUCUGACCGGGAUCUUCAGCUCUCACUGGAUCGGUUCGCAGCCGAGUGUGAAGCGACCGGAAUGAGAAUCAGCACCUCCAAGUCCGAGUCCAUGGUUCUCGCCCGGAAAAGGGUGGAAUGCCAUCUCCGGGUUGGGGAGGAGACCCUGCCCCAAGUGGAGGAGUUCAAGUACCUAGGAGUCUUGUUCACGAGUGAGGGAAGAGUGGAUCGUGAGAUCGACAGGCGGAUCGGUGCGGCGUCUUCAGUAAUGCGGACGUUGUACCGAUCCGUUGUGGUGAAGAAGGAGCUGAGCCGGAAGGCAAAGCUCUCAAUUUACCGGUCGAUCUACGUUCCCAUCCUCACCUAUGGUCAUGAGCUUUGGGUCAUGACUGAAAGGAUAAGAUCACGGGUACAAGCGGCCCAAAUGAGUUUCCAGGUCUCUCCCUUAGAGAUAGGGUGAGAAGCUCUGCCAUCCGGGAGGAACUCAAAGUAAAGCCGCUGCUCCUCCACAUGGAGAGGAGCCAGAUGAGGUGGUUCGGGCAUCUGGUCAGGAUGCCACCCGAACGCCUCCCUAGGGAGGUGUUUAGGGCACGUCCACGGGGAAGACCCAGGACACGUUGGGAAGACUAUGUCUCCCGGCUGGCCUGGGAACGCCUCGGGAUCCCCCGGGAAGAGCUAGACGAAGUGGCUGGGGAGAGGGAAGUCUGGGCUUCCCUGCUUAGGCUGCUGCCCCCGCGACCCGACCUCGGCUAAGCGGAAGAGAGAUGGAUGGAUGGAUGGAUGAGUUUAUUUUUCAACAAGUUUGUUACUUUUAUAUCUUUUUUUUCCCAAAUAGUUCAAGAAAGACCACUACAAAUGAGCAAUAUUUUGCACUGUUAUACAAUUUAAUAAAUCAGAAACUGAUGA